UCUUGGUCAUUUAGAGGAAGUAAAA
rnacentral:rRNA from 1 species